rnacentral:sRNA from 1 species
UGGAACUCAGGAAACGGGGAUGCAGCGGGGUUGAGUUUUGCAAGGCUUGAAGUUUAUAUAAUUCUCAGGGCCUUGUGUGUGUGUGUGUGUGUGUGUGUGUGUGUGUGUGAUGGGGAUUGAACCCAGGGCCUUGUGUGUGCCAGGCAAGCACUCUAC